CCUACGGGUGGCAGCAGUGAGGAAUAUUGGUCAAUGGCCGAGAGGCUGAACCAGCCAAGUCGCGUGAGGGAAGACGGCCCUACGGGUUGUAAACCUCUUUUGUCGGGGAGCAAAGAGAGUCACGUGUGACUCAUUGAGAGUACCCGAAGAAAAAGCAUCGGCUAACUCCGUGCCAGCAGCCGCGGUAAUACGGAGGAUGCGAGCGUUAUCCGGAUUUAUUGGGUUUAAAGGGUGCGCAGGCGGAGGUGCAAGUCAGCGGUCAAAUUGCGGGGCUCAACCCCGUCGAGCCGUCGGAACUGGCAGUCUUGAGUGGGCGAGAAGUAUGCGGAAUGCGUGGUGUAGCGGUGAAAUGCAUAGAUAUCACGCAGAACGCCGAUUGCGAAGGCAGCAUACCGGCGCCCAACUGACGCUGAGGCACGAAAGCGUGGGGAUCGAACAGGAUUAGAUACCCCAGUAGUC
rnacentral:rRNA from 1 species